rnacentral:rRNA from 1 species
UAGAGUUUGAUCAUGGCUCAGAGCGAACGCUGGCGGCAGGCCUAACACAUGCAAGUCGAACGAACUCUUCGGAGUUAGUGGCGGACGGGUGAGUAACACGUGGGAACGUGCCUUUUGGUUCGGAAUAACUCAGGGAAACUUGUGCUAAUACCGAAUGUGCCCUUCGGGGGAAAGAUUUAUCGCCAUUAGAGCGGCCCGCGUCUGAUUAGCUAGUUGGUGAGGUAACGGCUCACCAAGGCGACGAUCAGUAGCUGGUCUGAGAGGAUGACCAGCCACACUGGGACUGAGACACGGCCCAGACUCCUACGGGAGGCAGCAGUGGGGAAUCUUGCGCAAUGGGCGAAAGCCUGACGCAGCCAUGCCGCGUGAAUGAUGAAGGUCUUAGGAUUGUAAAAUUCUUUCACCGGGGACGAUAAUGACGGUACCCGGAGAAGAAGCCCCGGCUAACUUCGUGCCAGCAGCCGCGGUAAU